AAAUUAGUAAGUGCUAUUUAGGUCAGUUUGCGAGUACACCUUAACUAUUCUAUAGGGUAUCUAUUAUUUCUCACCGAUAUGGAUACUGGAACGCUCUAUUCACCAAAAUUCAGUACAAGAGUUAAAAGCUGAAGUUAUAGCCAAUCCAUGCAUCCCAGUUGUUGAUCAAGGCGCACCUCCCAAACGGUGUUGCACUGUGGAUAAAGCAUGCUAUGUUUCUCCGGAUACAUGUCAUGCUAGUUGUCACUAAUUAAUGAUUAAUAUUCAAGAAAAAUAAUGUUAAUUCGUAUUGUUACUUUAGCUGAUGUAUAAUUAAAAUAAAAGAAGUUGAUUAUCAUUAAUAAAGUUCAGUUUCAGUUAUCCAUA